UACGGGGAGGGCAAGCGUUGUUCGGAAUUACUGGGCGUAAAGGGCGCGUAGGCGGUUUGCUAAGUUGGAUGUGAAAACUCUGGGCUUAACCCAGAGCCUGCAUCCAAAACUGGCAAACUUGAGUACUGGAGGGGAAAGCGGAAUUCCUGGUGUAGCGGUGAAAUGCGUAGAUAUCAGGAGGAACACCGGUGGCGAAGGCGGCUUUCUGGACAGUAACUGACGCUGAGGCGCGAAAGCUAGGGGAGCAAACAGG
rnacentral:rRNA from 1 species